rnacentral:rRNA from 1 species
GGACCCGCACAAGUAGUGGAGCAUGUGGUUUAAUUCGAAGAUACGCGCAGAACCUUACCAACACUUGACAUGUUCGUCGCGACUUUAAGAGAUUAAAGUUUUCGGUUCGGCCGGACGAAACACAGGUGCUGCAUGGCUGUCGUCAGCUCGUGUCGUGAGAUGUUGGGUUAAGUCCCGCAACGAGCGCAACCCUCACUUUUAGUUGCCAUCAUUUAGUUGGGCACUCUGAAAGAACUGCCAGUGAUAAGCUGGAGGAAGGUGGGGAUGACGUCAAGUCCUCAUGGCCCUUACGUGUUGGGCUACACACGUGCUACAAUGGUAUCUACAACAGGAAGCAAGACGGCGACGUUAAGCAAAUCCUUAAAGCUGCUCCCAGUCCGGAUUGAAGUCUGCAACUCGACUUCAUG